rnacentral:misc_RNA from 1 species
GUGAGAUAACUGUUCUUGCAAUUCUACCUGCCAUUUCAAACAUGGGAGAAUUGAAAAAUUGUCGAUUGAUCCAUGGUUAUGGAGAAAAAAAAGGGAUUUAAUGCGUCUGAUAUACGUGUCACUAAUUCGAUUAUAGAUACUUAUGCAAAAUGUGGUUGCAUAACGAGUGCGUUGAGAUUUUUUGAGGAGAUUUCUGUAGAGAGGAAAAACUUGGUAUCAUGGACGUCAAUCAUUUCUGGGCUUGCAAUGUAUGGGAUGGGAAAGGAAGCAGUGGAAAGUUUCGAGGGGAUGGAGAAAACAGGUUUGAAGCCUAAUCGAGUGACGUUCUUGAGUGUUUUGAAUGCCUGUAGUCAUGGAGGAUUGGUUGAAGAGGGGCUCAAGUUUUUCCAAAAGAUGGUGAAUGAGUAUUGCAUUGCGCCUGAUAUUAAGCAUUACGGGUGUUUAGUAGACAUGAUGGGCAGGACAGGCAGGUUAGAAGAAGCAGAGAAAUUGGCUUUGGGAAUUCCUAGUGAAAUUGUUAAUGUUGUGAUCUGGAGGACUCUUUUAGGUGCAUGUAGCUUUCAUGGUAAUAUCGAGAUGGGUGAGAGGGUGACGAGGAAGAUAAUGGAGAUUGAGAGAGGAUAUGGAGGAGAUUAUGUCCUCAUGUAUAACAUAUUUGCUGGUGUUGGGAGGUUUGAGGAUGCUGAAAGGUUGAGAAGAUUGAUGGAUGAGAGAAAUGCCUUAAAAGUUCCUGGACAUAGUUUGGUCUGACCAAUUUGCAAUGAUGGGUCAGAUAGCUCUAGACAGAUAUUGUCUUUUGCCUUACAACUUCUGAAGCCAAGUAAAAGACAGUGGCUCAUGAAUGUCAAGACCACAUAGAUCAUUAUAGAGAUGCUACUGGAGUUGCUUCUAAUAUCUUUGGGCAUCUAACACCCAUUUAUCGGCAUCUGGUUGAAAUGAUGCCAGGAAAUGGAUAUGGCUUACAUGAGAGGGGAUGGCACAGGCACCUGGCUGUUAACCAAUGACUAACUACUAUUAUCUUUUCAGUAUGCCCAUCUCUAUUCAAGUAUGUAAGCAGGUGAUGGACGUUUUGCCUUUGUUGAUCCAUAUCAUCAAAUGCUCCUCAUGUUUCUUUCAAAUGAUGCAGACACACAUGUAGCAAACAGAAACCAAAGAAUAUGAUCUGGAAGCAAAUCAAGCAUCACAUAGUUGAAUUCAGACAACAUUUUGAAUUGUGCAUACCUGACAUUGUAAAACAAUGGAGACAAGAUAAUCUUGAGGAAUCACGUUUUCAUUCUGUGUAAUAAAUUUAUUUCUUUAUUAUACAAAAAUUUCUCAGUUUUAGUUUCCUGGCCUGGUAUUCUUGCAGCCAUGCAUAAGCUUCAAUUGCAUUUGCAUAUUUCUGUUUAUGGUUUGUUUCAUAGCUGUUGAUAUGCAUUUCAUGCUUUCUUCUCAUUUGCAAUUUCCCACGACUUGUUUCUGAAGCCAAGAGGAGCACGGAUAAAAUGAAUUGCAGGGAAUAAUCGUAGGGUUUGGAAACUAGAUCUGAAAAUCAAUGUUUGGAGGUUAAUGUCAUAUCAUGGGCAUUCAAUUAGAUAAGUUGAUUAUUGACAUAUAAAUUGUGCUUUUUCAUGAUAUUUAAAAAAAGAAUGUUUAAAAUCAAAACAUUAAUUUGGCAAUACCAUUUGCACCAUACUUCUGCCUAAGUUCAAUUGUAUGAAGAACUUGAAAAUCGAUCUAUUGUAUGAAUUAACCUGGUAACAAAUGCUUCAUGAAAUCCUAAAGUCAAAAAAUGAGAGGCGCAGACAAGUCAUUAGAUGCUGCUUAUGUGGGUGAAUUGUCAGUGAUGAUCUAUGAAAAGGAAAUUCUACUGCUGCUAAACUUCUAAUGCCAAAUCCCCAAAGUAACAGCUAUGACAAAAAGUAGCAGAAGUGUGGUAUCUCCUCCUGGCAGAAUGGAUGACCUGAGCUUUUUCCUGGAUUGUUGUACAUAUGCCAUUACAGGAGGAAGUAUGCCAAACAGGAAACAAUUUGCAUAAACUCCUGCAAAAUCAAGGGCUUUUGAAAAGGUUGAGCGAAAGAAAGAUCCUAUGAGAAUAGGAACACUGAGAACCAGCAUUGUUACAAACGUUUGAUGAAAUGAAUUAGACUUGGCUAUCCUAGAUGGCAGUUUAAGUUUAUCUUCUGAGGCAGCAAAAUGCUUUGAUCCAUCAAAUAAAGCUCUCCCUGAAUUUCCACUAUAAUGUCGACCAGAAAAAAUUACUAAUCCAACUCUUCCAGUCCCAUCCCCAUUCAAAAGCAUUUGAGAUUGAGAGCUAAAUUGUUCUGCAGAAUUGAUUUUCAUAAAUACCAAUUCCAGGGUAUCAAGAAGCUGUUUCGGAAAGCUAACAGCAUAGCCUAUCAAGCUAGUUGCCAGAGCAGAAAAUGCAAAUCCCUGGACAGCAGAUAAAGCAGAAGGAUUGACAGAAAGCAAGAGGGAGAUAGGGUCAUUGGAGGAGGCAGCAGUAUUAGCCCCAGCAAGCCCCAAAACAAUCAAAUUCCAUGAUAAAACCAUGAUCAAUGGAACAACCCCACCAAUCAGCACUGCUUUUCUAGCCUCAGAUACAGUGUUCCCAGCAAUCUUACAAAUAAAAGGGGUGAUAACGUGGAAUCCCAAUGUGAGCACAGUAACAGGUAUAGCAGGCAAGAUUGAUGAAAUACUCCACGAGGAUUUAGCAAGGGAGCCCAAUACAUUUGUUCUAGCCACAGAAAGACCAAUACCAACUAGCGCAGUUAUGGAUAAAAGCAUGAGCAAGCAGAAAACCCGGUUUGCAGUAUCAAUGACCUUGAAUGGAAAGAAUGUAAUCACAAUCCCAACAGCAAGUGGAAACAAUGCAUAAGCCAAUAAAAAAUUCAUCCAUGGAAACCACUGAGAUACUAUUGCACCAAUACCUGAAACACAGGCUACUAACAAAGAAAAACUCAAGCUGGCGUAAACCACAGCCACAAAAGCACCAAAAUGACUCCCUAAUGCUUUAGUUGCAAGGGCAGUAAAGCUCACCUCUGAAACCCCAUCUUCCUGCAUAGCAGCGAAGCUGAGCUCAGCAACAAGAAUAAUGGAAGAGAUUACAUAAACCCAGCAAAGAAAAAUAGCAACAAUUGAUGGACAUGAGCCCGAUCUAAUAGUUGCAGCAGGCAAACCCAGCAUUCCAGGCCCAACUGCAGUUCCAAUAACCAAACUUACAGCACCCCAGAAGUUCUUUUGAGGUUCUUGUUGGGUUUCUUGAGUUUGAUUGUUUCUGAUAAAUUUGUCAGUGCUGAAUUGAUUAGCAUGAAUAAUAAUGGGAACUGAAGUAGAAUCUUGUUGAGAGCACCUUGGAAUAAGAUUGAGGGGGAUUUUGACAGAGGAAGUGAGCUUGUUGGUAGGUGUAAUGUGAGAAAAGGGGAAUCUGGGUUGGGUGAUGUAGGGUGAAAGACUGAAUCUUGAAUGUGCAAUUGAAUUGGGUUUGGUUAAACAGUAGGAAAGAUGCAUUUUUGAGUAGAUCGUCGAUCCUUUGGAAUCUCAGAAAUCAGAAUCUCUUUCCAGUUCAACGGGAAAACUGUU